rnacentral:lncRNA from 1 species
UCCAUGUGCCUUGCGAGGGUGCCAUAACCCCCUCCCGCUUUCCAUUGAUAAGUAGCGUUGCAAUAGUUGCAAUAGGCAAUGAACCUCUCGGGAGCAUUUGGACCAUCAUUUGGAUUUUUAGGAGCGGGUUCCCUCCUAAAAUGUUUAGUGAAAAUAUUAGAAGAAAGUAAUUUACUCUUACCCUUACCCUUACCUCUAGUGGGAGGGAUUUCCUCCUCAACGUUGUGACGUGCUUGCUCGGCUUCCUCCUCCGCCUCUU